rnacentral:rRNA from 1 species
UGAGUAACGCGUAUGCGACCUGCCCGUUGCAGGGGGAUAAUCGGGAGAAAUCCCGUCUAAUACCGCGUAACGCCGCGGGGCUGCAUGGCCCUGCGGCCAAAGGGAGCGAUUCCGGCAACGGAUGGGCAUGCGUGACAUUAGCUAGUUGGCGGGGCAACGGCCCACCAAGGCGACGAUCAGUAGCCGGACUGAGAGGUUGGCCGGCCACAUUGGGACUGAGACACGGCCCAGACUCCUACGGAAGGCAGCAG